GUAGUAUUCCCUCCGUCCCAAAAUUCUUGUCUUACAUUUGUUUAGAUACAGAUGUAUCUAACGCUAAAAUGUAACUAGAUACAUCCGUAUUUAGACAAAUUUAAGACAAGAAUUUUGGGACGGAGGAAGUACAAA
rnacentral:pre_miRNA from 1 species